rfam:Ipomoea nil DNA, scaffold: scaffold2283, cultivar: Tokyo-kokei standard.
GUGGGCGUGGCGGAGUGGUUAUCAAGCAUGACUAGAAAUCAUGUGGGCUUUGCCCGCGCAGGGUCGAAUCUUGCUGCUCACG